rnacentral:rRNA from 1 species
AUUGAACGCUGGCGGCAGGCCUAACACAUGCAAGUCGAGCGGAUGAAGGGAGCUUGCUCCUGGAUUCAGCGGCGGACGGGUGAGUAAUGCCUAGGAAUCUGCCUGGUAGUGGGGGAUAACGUCCGGAAACGGGCGCUAAUACCGCAUACGUCCUGAGGGAGAAAGUGGGGGAUCUUCGGACCUCACGCUAUCAGAUGAGCCUAGGUCGGAUUAGCUAGUUGGUGGGGUAAAGGCCUACCAAGGCGACGAUCCGUAACUGGUCUGAGAGGAUGAUCAGUCACACUGGAACUGAGACACGGUCCAGACUCCUACGGGAGGCAGCAGUGGGGAAUAUUGGACAAUGGGCGGAAGCCUGAUCCAGCCAUGCCGCGUGUGUGGAGAAGGUCUUCGGAUUGUAAAGCACUUUAAGUUGGGAGGAAGGGCAGUAAGUUAAUACCUUGCUGUUUUGACGUUACCAACAGAAUAAGCACCGGCUAACUUCGUG